rnacentral:rRNA from 1 species
GAUGAACGCUAGCGGCAGGCCUAACACAUGCAAGUCGAGGGGCAGCACAUAAAGUGGUUUACUACUUUUGGUGGCGACCGGCGGACAGGUGCGUAACGCGUAUGCAACCUGCCUCCAACAGGGGGAUAACGGAGAGAAAUUUCCACUAAUACCCCAUAAUAUCAGAAUCGGCAUCGGUUUUGGUUGAAAACUCCGGUGGUUGGAGAUGGGCAUGCGUUGUAUUAGAUAGUUGGUGAGGUAACGGCUCACAAAGUCAACGAUAAAUAGGGGGAGUGAGAGGUUAGCCCCCCACACUGGUACUGAGACACGGACCAGACUCCUACGGGAGGCAGCAGUGAGGAAUAUUGGUCAAUGGGGGCAACCCUGAACCAGCCAUGCCGCGUGCAGGAAGACGGCUCUAUGAGUUGUAAACUGCUUUUACAAGGGGAUAAAUCGGUGUACGUGUACACCGUUGAAGGUACCUUGGGAAUAAGGAUCGGCUAACUCCGUGCCAGCAGCCGCCGUAA